rnacentral:rRNA from 1 species
GUGGGGAAUAUUGGACAAUGGGCGAAAGCCUGAUCCAGCAAUGCCGCGUGAGUGAUGAAGGCCCUAGGGUUGUAAAGCUCUUUUACCCGGGAUGAUAAUGACAGUACCGGGAGAAUAAGCUCCGGCUAACUUCGUGCCAGCAGCCGCGGUAAUACGAGGGGAGCUAGCGUUGUUCGGAAUUACUGGGCGUAAAGCGCGCGUAGGCGGUUUUUUAAGUCAGAGGUGAAAGCCCGGGGCUCAACCCCGGAAUAGCCUUUGAAACUGGAAAACUAGAAUCUUGGAGAGGUCAGUGGAAUUCCGAGUGUAGAGGUGAAAUUCGUAGAUAUUCGGAAGAACACCAGUGGCGAAGGCGACUGACUGGACAAGUAUUGACGCUGAGGUGCGAAAGCGUGGGGAGCAAACAGGAUUAGAAACCCUUGUAGUCC